CUACGGAGGGUACAAGCGUUAUUCGGAAUCACUGGGCGUAAAGGACGCGUAGGCGGGUUGGCAAGUCAGAUGUGAAAUCCUACAGCUUAACUGUAGAACUGCAUUUGAAACUGCUAACCUAGAGUAUGGGAGGGGGAGAUGGAAUUAGUGGUGUAGGGGUAAAAUCCGUAGAUAUCACUAGGAAUACCGAAAGCGAAGGCGAUCUCCUGGAACAUAACUGACGCUAAGGCGUGAAAGCGUGGGGAGCAAACAGGAUUAGAAACCCCUGUAGUCC
rnacentral:rRNA from 1 species